rnacentral:lncRNA from 1 species
CACAGAGUAUCAAAAAUGAAUCAAGAUACUCUUUAGUAAAUUCAUUAAAAUUUAAGUAUCAAAAUGUCAUCAUUUUUCUUUGAUUUUAAGAACAGCAGUCUCUUUCACAUUUCAGAACCAAUCAUGACUUCCCAACACACCUCCAGAGUCUUAGCUCAUUACAGUAUUAACCCAAAACUCCAAGUCCAAAGUCUCAUCUGAGACAAGGCAAGUCCCUUCUGCCUAUGAGACUAUAAAAUCAGAAACAAGUUAGAUACUUCCAAGAUACAAUGGUGGCACAGGCAUUGGGUAAAUGCUGCCAUUCCAAUGUGAGAAACUGGCCAAAACAAAGGGAAAACAGUCCUCAUGCAAGUACAAAAGCCAACAGGGCAGUCAUUGAAUUUUAAAGUUUCAAAAUAAUCUCCUUUGACUCUGUGUCUCACAUCCAGGACAUGCUGGUGUAAGGAGAGGGCUUCCAAGGCCUUGGGCCAUUCAGCCCCAUGGCUUUUCAGGGUACAGACUGUGGCUGUUUUCAUGAGCUGGUGUUGAGUGCCUGAGGCUUUUUCAGGCGCAUGGUGCAAACUGUCAGUGGAUCUACCAUUCUGGGGUCUGGAGGACAGUGGCCCUCUUCUCACAGCUCUACUAGGCAUUGUACAAGUGGGGACCCUGUGUAGGGGCUUCAACACCCACAUUUCCUCUCUUCACUGCCCUAGUAGAGAUUCUCCCCUAGAACUCCAGCACUGCAGCAGACUUCUGCCCGGACAUCCAGAGGUUUCCAUACAUCCUCUGAAAUCUAGGUGGAGGUUCCCAAAGCUGAACAUUUGUCUUCUGUGCACCCAUAGGCCCAAUACCACUUGGAAGCUGCCAAGGCAUGGGGCUUGCACCCCCUGAAGCAGUGGUCUGAGCUGUACCUUUGCCUCUUUUAGCCAUGACUGGAACUGGAGCAGCUAGAACACAGGGCACCUAGUCCUGAGGCUGCACAGAGAAGCAGGGCCCAGGUCGCAGCCCGCAAAACCAUUUUUCCCUCCUAGGCCUCUGGACCUGUGAUAGAAGGGGCUGCCACAAAGAUUUCUGAUAUGCCCUAGGGACAUUUUCUCCAUUGUCUUGACUAUUAACAUUUGGCUCCUUGUUGCUUAUGCAAAUUUCUGCAGCAGGCUUGAAUUUCCCCCAGAAAAUGGGUGUUUCUUUUCUACUGCAUGGUCAGGCUGCAAAUUUCCCAAACUUUUAUGCUCUGUUUCCCUUUUAAAUAAAAGUUCCAUUUUCAGAUAAGGUCUUUGUGAUUACAUAUGACUGAACACUUUCAGAAUCACCCAGUUCACAUCUUGAAUGCUUUGCUGCUUAGAAAUUUCUUCUGCCAGAUACCCUAAGGCAUCUCUCUCAAGUUCAAAUUUCCACAGAUCUCUAGGGAAGGGGCAAAAUGCCACCAGUCUCUUUGCUAAAGCACAGCAUGAGUGACCUUUACUCAGUUCCCAAUAAGUUCCUUAUCUCCAUCUGAGACCACCUCAGCCUGGACAUCAUUGUCUAUAUCACUAUCAGCAUUUUGGUCAAACCAUUCAGCAAAUCUCCAGGAAGUUCCAAACAUUCCCACAUCUUCCUGUCUUCUUCUGAGCCCUACAAAUUGUUCCAACCUUUUUCUGUUAUCCAGUUCCAAAGUUGCUUCUACAUUUUCAGGUCAUCUUUAUAGCAGUACCCCACUCUGCUGGUAACAAUUCUUUGUAUUAGUCUAUUUUCACAUUGCUAUAAAGAACUACUUGAGACUGGGUAAUUAUAAAGAAAAUAGGUUUAAUUGACUCACAGUUCUCCAUGGCUGGGGAGGCCUCAGGAGUCUUGCAUUCAUGGUGAAAGGCAAAAGGGAAGCAAUGCACUUCUUACCUGGUGGAAGGAGAGAGAACGUGCAGAGGAAACUGCCACUUUUGAACCACCAAAUUUCAUGAGAAAUCCCUCACUAUCACGAGGACAGCAUGGGGGAAACUGCCCCCAUGAUCCAGUCGCCUCCCACUGGGUCCCUCCCAUGGACGUGUGGGGAUUACAAUUUGAGAUGAGAUUUAAGUAUGGACCUGGAGCCGAACCAUAUCAUCAUCCAUGAAUAAAAAACAAAAUGAUUUGCAUAACCAGUGUUGGUAGCACAAGUAGCUAUUGCAUUGGAGACUUUUAACAGCUACUAAAUGCCUGUGUGAAAAAUGCCAUAAGAUAAACAUUGGAUUCUAUUCUUUUGGACAAUAACUAUAACAAAUGCUAAACAUACAUACUUCCCACAAUGCUGUUUAGUUUUCAAGAACAGUGUCUUUUAUUUGUCCCUUUUCAAACAUGCCAUUGCAAGAGAAAACUCAUUAUUUGAAUUAGAAUGGGAAUGAGUUUCUAUCUUCUAUGCACAACUUAGAACUGAGGUUAGACAAGUAAUGCUUUAAUAGGUAUAAAGAGAUUUUUGGGCUUUCAUAGUCCUGAUAGCCAUCGCCUUAGAGUUCUUUACCUUCAUGAAAAUUAUGCUUCUGCUGACCCAAUAUGCUAGCACUUACAGUUAAAGCUGUCUUUUAAAAUAUCUUUUUUAGUUAAUGUUAUUAAAAAGAUUGGCUGGAUGUGGUGGCUCACGCCUGUAAUGCCAGCACUUUGGGAGGCCGAGGCUGGCGGAUCACAAGAUCAGGAGUUCGAGACCAGCCUGGCCAACAUGGUGAAACCCCGUCUCUACUAAAAAUACAAAAAUUAGUUGGGUGUGGUGGCAGGCGCCUGUAAUCCCAGCUACUCAGGAGGCUGAGGCAGGAGAGUUACUUGAACCCUGAAGGUGGAGGUUGCAGUGAGCCAAGAUUGUGCCACUGUACUCCAUCCUGGGUGACAGGGCAAGACUCCAUCUCGGAAAACAAAAAAGAAGUAUUAACAAUAUCAGAGAUGAAACUUCAGGGGCACAAAUCUCAUCUCCCCCCUCUCUCCCAGUACAAAUUGCCUUUGUCUGUAUUAUUGUCAUUACUCAUAAAAAUAAAUCCUUUAUUUUAAUUUUUUAGAAUCAGAUUUUUAUGCAGAUUUAAAACGAUAAUGGUGCAUUUAAUAAUUCAAAUGUUUACACUUUGACUUUAAACUCUUUCAAUUCUUCUGAAUCAAUAUAUUUUAUUUGGUUGUUCUGACACGGAAAACAAUAACCAUAACUGAAUACACUGAAAACAGAAUACCAAAGAACAAUGUGCUAUGAUUCUGGAAAGUAAGUAAUCCAGUGUUACUUUCCAAUCCAAUAAAUGGUUUGUUGGAAGGGGGGAAUACUGUGGGCAUGCAUGCGCAUGUGUGUGUGUGUUCAGUUAAAGAUGAGGUCAGAGAGCUAAAAUGAGGAGGCAUAAAAAAAUCGGUGUAGUGAAAAAGGUCCUGAAAACUUUGAUUAAUUUGCACUUGUAAUUUAAUAAUUCAGUUCCCUUUCGCACCACAUUAGUGUCUCCAAUGGCAGAAACAAAAUGUUCUGGUGCAUAGGAAAUAAUUGACUUAUGAAUCUAAUGUCUUCAGGGAUUUCAUAAGGAGAAAAAUUCAGUUAUUUUUAUUGUUUUCUAAGACUUGCUGGACAAGUUGGGAGUAAAAUUGUUUUAAAUACUGAGGUAUUGAGUUUUGUCCAUAGCCCUGAAUUUAGAUUGUGAUUUUGCAGUUCAUUUUGGAUAGUGAUUGGUCUUACUUGACGUAUUCCUUGAUAAACAAGAUUCUUAUCUUCCAUAAGAAACAGUAAAAUUAUGUGUCAGAAUAACUUUCUAUAUUACUUUUAAUACUCAAUAUAAAACUAGAUUAUAAAAAUACACAGCAUGAUUUCAAUUCACUGUUGUUUAGACGUGUGCUUUUUCAAAUGCUGUCUACCUAUUUCUCUCCAGAAAUGUUGUUUUCCCUCCAGUGAUUGUCCAGAUUCUUCUUUCCACGUGCUUCACUACAAAAUCAAACUUAUUCCAAUUAUGUGCAUACUCAUUAACAUCAUUCUUAUUCUAAAUUACAGUUUUGAGACGUAAAUUAUGAAGUUUAUUUUUCUUAAACUUAAGAACUAAUUACAUUGGAGACCCAUCGCUUUGGAGACUUUUUAACAACUAUUAAAUGCCUGUGAGAAGAAUGCCGUAAUAUAAAGUUGCCACAUUUCCUUGUCACUAAUUACACAUUGCAUCCUAUUCUUUUGGACAAUAAAUGUAACCAAACAUGACUAAAGAUGUUAAGACAAUGCCUACUAUUGCUACUUGGAUCGUAAAGCUUUCCCUCUUGAUUGUACAUUAAGAAAAAAAUGACUCUAGAGUGUUAUAUAGAAAGGAACAGAGAUAGACCUAAUGAUCAAAAUUAUCAAACUAUAUAGAUAAGAAAGAUAUACUAUUUCUGAAGUUAAAUACAUAUUUUACUCGUCAUGACAAUUGGGCAUUUAUCUUGUGUCAAUCAAAAAAGAAGGUCAAUAUUAUUUUCUGGUUAUUUUAAAUGUUAUUUAUUUUGCUUUCAGCUGUAUAUACCCAGAAAGUUUCACUGCAUAUUUCAGUUACAGGAUUUAAGGUCCUAUGUCAGGCAUGACCCAAAGGAUCAGGACUUCCAGAGACAUUAAGCAGAAGGAGUGUAGGGGAUAAUGCAGCUCAAGACAGGCAAUCUGUGCCCAGUAACCCACAGGUCUGCAAGCUCAGUUGGCUGAGGCAGGGAUUUUGCCAGGGUCGAACUCUCUAUCGGGGCCAGAGGCAUUUCUCUAUGCUCUGUACCAGGAGUUCCCAGUGAGGUCAGAGACCUGCAGAUGAGCUCUGGCCUAUGUGAGAAGAAGACAGGAAACUACGAUAAUUUCACAGUAAUUUUCUUGCCUAUCCAAUGACAGAAGAAAAUAAAAUAUAUGCUAUAUCAUGCUCCUGUUGAGUCAAUCUGUGGAAAACGGAUGUUUGGGAAAUAAGAAAGUGGCUUAUUAAUCCCCUGCUUUUUUUUAAAUUCAGGAAACUAUAAUAUAAAUACAAAUACAUUAUUUUAUUAAGAUUUGUUGGUUAUGAGUAUAAUGUAUGUGUUUCUAUAGCUAUAUCAGGAAUAUAUGGAAUAAAAAAUAAUAAAAUAAUUUUACCAUUCAUUAAAUAACAAAUAAUAAAAAAUCAUACAUAGAAAUUUUGUGUCAUGAUAUUUUUAGGUUUGCAAUUCAGAGUUAUUUGUGAAUAUCAGUUUAG